CUCUUUCUCAUUAAGGGACCUGUGAUUGGAUUUCCCUUCACACCCACCUCUGAGCACUCAGGUGUCCUAUUUUGUUGUGCUCUGAGGCGGAUGCUCCUUUCCUUCCAGGUGUCCGGCCUUUUCCGAGUUGAGGGCAGUUAUGAAACCUGCUCCCCAGAUUCUCUCACCCUGGAGGACGGUGACUUGGUGCAGUUUGUACAGGAGGGAGAAAAUGGACAGUGGUUAGUCAAGAAAUUGGUUUCUGAGAAAAGUGACUGGGUACCCUCCAGUCUCCUUCAUCCUGCAGGGUUAGAUGGUGACCAGCUUCAUAAAAAUAGUAACACAGACACAUAUCCCAGUUCCCGUGACCAAGGGCUAACAGAUUCAGAAAGGAAGGAGAACCUUGUGCAGAGACUAUCGGCUGCACAGAAGGCUGAGAGCUGAGUCUGCCCGCCGCUCUGCCCGCUCAUCUCUUACCUUUGGUUUUGCUUUGGACAUUUGCCUCCCCUUUCCCUUCCCAACCCCCCUCCCCCUUUCUCCUGGACACUGAGUCUACCUGGACUUCUGGGAAACUCCAGACUCCCAGACCUACAGGAAUCACUCCAUCUGGUCAAUAAGCAAAAGCAAAGAAGUCUUUUUCAGGAUUCAAGACAAAAACAGAGGCGUCCCAGCAGAACUGUCUGAGGAUGUUGGUCUGAAUCUGGUCUGCCACAGUGAUGUGUGUGUUAGCCAGGGCUCUGGCAUUAAUCAGGGGGGGCUGAUUCUUUUCCUCGCCUCAAGUACCCGGGAUGCCCCAUUCUCUGUUAUGAUUUCUCGCCAAAGGUGUUCCUGGGAGGGUGGGGGGGCUGUAUGAGACUUGUCCAAGGUGAGCGAGUGCAGACCUCAGCCAGGUGUUGUCAGAGAGGGGAAACGGAGAAAUCACUCCCUGGAUCCCCUGCCCAGUGAGGCCGUUUGCCCUCUGACUCACGUGGGCAAAGGGGUGGUGAUCUGGACAGCAACCGGACCUUUCAUUACCUGGCACCAAAGCUCAUCUGGGAUGACCAUCAGCAAUGAAGCCCAUGACCCUGUUUGUAAUCGCAGCUAGACCAGGUUUACUUUUGGAGCCUUUUUAGUGUUUCCCCUUAGGAGAGGCUGACCGCUGGUCAUCGGACUCACCAAUUUUGCCCAGGGAUGUCAGGAUGUUUACCCUUGCACUCACACACCUGUUACUGAAGGACGGCAGGGAUGGAGAGGGAGGAAACUCAUCUGCUAGGAACGUACCCAUACUAAUUCUUGUGCCCUGCAUCUGGAGGGGGGCAGAUCAUUUAUGGAUCUCAAGCUGCUAUUUUUCUAACUGGAACAAACUUCAUGGUGCUAGGGAGCUGGGGAGAGCAUGUGCUCCUUUGUCUAGAGAGGAAGACUUCAGUUCUCAUGAUUAUCUUAGAAAAUGAUGUGUGAUUUACAGGAAAGCUGCCCGGAAGGUAUAAUGCAAUGACAAAAGCAAGGAAGGGAAGUAAAUUCCAGGAAGGACUUUAAAGGACUCCUAAUAGACAUUUUCAGCCCAUCCUUUCCCCUCUCUCUCUCCUGCAGCCCUCUUUCUGCAUUUCAAUAAGGCUUCAUCCACUGCUAGCUACAGGUAGAGGGAUGAGCCUCAUGGGGCAGACAGGGGCGUGGGGAAGAAGGGAGUCACCCUUUGUUAUCCCAAAGAAAGCAUCCUCACCUGUAAUUACACCAGCCUUACCUGGCUCCAGCCCAGAUAUAGAGGCUCAUAAGGGUCAUUCAUAGAAUCUAUUCACAGUGAACCCAGGAUGGGGAAAAAGCCCUGAGCUGGUCCAGCAGAGAUUUGUGGAAAACUUAGCUUGUCAAUCUCCUGAUUUCCUGUCUUGGAGAAUGAUUAGGAAUUGCUUUUUAAAAAUUCCAACUAGGCUCACAGACCCUCAGUAAGAAAAUAGAGGGCACAUCCAGCUUCAUGGGAAAUGCCCCAAUAUGGCAAGUAAGACCCUCCUCCAAAUCUGGCUGUAUUUGGCAAGCCGAUAUCUCCUAUCCGCUGUCGUGGGCCAAACAGAGACCUCCCCAAACUGCCCUUGACCCGGUUGUGGGCGUCUGCUUUUCUGUCCAGCUCCGCUGUCUGCUCUAUUGUAAUGAUUCCAUGCCAGGAGAUGCCAUUCUGAUAUAUUUUUGGUCAUCAUCGUGGCGUGGCUGUAUUCUCCAGCUCAGUAACCAGUGACUCCAACCACCUCAUCCCUGCCAGUCCCGUGACUUAUACUCUGAUGGGACCCUAAUCAAAUUCAGUUUCUCAGGUUUUGCUUCCUGAAUUUGGAAAGCACCUGAAUUUUGAGGAGACUGUAAAUUGAGGCACGUUUAUUUAUGAAAACUCAAACACAAAGAGACACAGGGACAAUUUUAUCAGUGAUCUUUCUGGUCUUUCAUUGACCUGUGAUCACUCCCUUCCUGGAGAUCUGAGCAGAAAUUCUUCCUGAUGUAUAAGCCUAUAAUAGAGUAUAAGGUGAGAAUUUACUAGAGAUGAAAAGUACCAAUUGCAUGCCCUAAUCAAUUGAGAAAGGAAAUAGCCAUGUGAGGGAGAGAAGGGCUCUGGGGAAUAAUGAGAAGCUUGUUGGGAGUGCUUGCAAGUAUUCCCAGACUUCCCAUUUGGUCUUGCUAGUCUCUUCCUCCCAUAUGUGGGUUAGGGAAUUAUUGGUUCUUUCAAGAUCCAUAUUCCCCCAUGCCAAAAGCUGCACUUUCUAUUUGAUGAGUAUAAAGGCCAAAAAAAGCCCCCAUUCCACCUCUGCCCUGAGUGCUCCAGAGUCUCUUCCUGAGAGGGGAUGCUCCAGCCUCCAGUCCACAGCCUCCUCCCUGAUGUGGAUGGGCUUUUCCCAUUCCUCCUUCCUUCUCUCACUGGCUAACCUCAGAACCAUUUGGGGUAGAUUGGGGGAAGGAAACUUCCUUUUUCCUCUAGGACCCAUCCUUUCCCCAAGAUCUUUUCAGCUAAAUGGAAUGCCUGGCCGGCCACCGCUUCUCCUGAAUCCCCAAGUUUUAUGAAAAUAGCUGGACCAAUCCGAAAAGACUUUAAAGAAAGACAUCCAAUAUUUAUGACUGUAGAUGUUUUCUAUCCCUCCUGUGUCGAUGAAUGUUCUGUGUGAUUCUAUUGGGAUUCUCUCUGUAAUUAGUACUUAAUCUCAAUGCCCCAUGUUAGUGCAUGCAUCUUGCUGGAGGGACGCUCGUGGCCCCUCCUUGGCCAUUAUUCCUGAAACUGCAGGUCUGUAAUUUUUGUUUCUAUUUUUUUCUGCAAACCCAACAUGUUUUUCAGCCUCAGUUUCCCCAUCUCAGCAGAUUCCUGGACUUUGAGUCUCCUGCUUUGUUUUUUCUUCAACCCAAGCUCUCUAUCUUUCCUAAUGCUUUGUCGGCUAUUUUUUUUUUAAAUUGCAGAUUGGCAGAAAAACAUUUUCUUUGUUACCAGAAGGGGCAAAAACUGUCAAGACUCUGUACUGGGGAGUAGGGGAAUCCAGACCUCAUGGACCCAUAUCCAGGAUAGACUGUUCACAUUUCAGAAAAAGGAUUUCAUUUCCAUCUUGCCAUUCCCUCAAAUACAUAAGGGCAAUUAUGUUCUCAUUGGCUCGGAGAAUGCCUUCGGAUAAAAAGGAGGUCUUGAGUCUUUAAAGAAUCUCCAUGGAAUGAUAUUAGAUUGGGGGUGGGGGGAAGUCGCGAGGGUUAGAUGAAGAUUAGGUAAAGUAUUUGGGUGCUGCUCUGUUGUAUGUCAUUCUGUUCACCUUUGCCAGGACAAUCUUCUCUGCAGUGUGUUGUUUUCCGGUAAACAGGGAAUUAUUAACUAGUGCAUUACAAUCCACACACUGUGCAAACUGGCCCCAUGAAAUGCCAGGUGAGAUGGCUUCUCUGAAAGCUUCUCCACCCACAGCCAAACUCAUGGGCCUCUCCCACCCCCGGCCAGCGGGCUCGGACGCUGCACUCUGCCCACAAGCGAGAGAAAAGUCACUUUAGUAGCUAAUCUUUCAUUCUCCAGUGCUCUGAGGUUUGGAACAGAUCCUAAAUGAGAAGGAUCGAGAAGGCUCCUGCCUUUUCUGAUUCCACUGACCAAACCGGGAGGUUGUCAGAAGGACAAUCAAGGACCCCCCAAAUCUGUGGGUGAUGUGUUGACGUCAGCCUUCCAUUAGCCAGAAACCAUCUCACCAUGAGGACUCAAAACCAUUGACACCUGCAACAGUUUGUGGUUCUUAUGGAUUUUUUUCAUUGUUAAAAGAAGUUAUUUAUAUAUUGUGAUUGGGAAGAGAAUCAGAUGGGGGUCAGAGCACGGAAUUCUGCUGUUAAGUUGUCUGAUUGUUUGGGCUGAAUUUGAUUUGUUUGGGGUUUGUUUUUGAGGAUUUGGGGGUUAUUUUUUCUUUUUCUUUUUGGCCAGAAUUGAAUGUAUGAGUUUAUACCUUAAAAAAUGUGUGAAGCCAAUUUUUUCUGUAAAUAUGCCAUGAUGUAGGACAACUCUGUUUGGACUUUAUAAAAAUGAUACCUACAGCAA